rnacentral:rRNA from 1 species
UUCCGGUUGAUCCCGCCGGACCUGACUGCUAUCGGAUUGAUACUAAGCCAUGCGAGUCAUUGUAGCAAUACAAGGCAGACGGCUCAGUAACGCGUAGUCAACCUACCCUAUGGACGGGAAUAACCUCGGGAAACUGAGUAUAAUGCCCGAUAGAACAUUAUACCUGGAAUGGUUUAUGUUCCAAAUGAUUUAUCGCCGUAGGAUGGGACUGCGGCCUAUCAGUUUGUUGGUGAGGUAAUGGCCCACCAAGACUAUUACAGGUACGGGCUCUGAGGGGAGUGGCCCGGAGAUGGGUACUGAGACACGGACCCAGGCCCUAUGGGGCGCAGCAGGCGAGAAAACUUUGCAAUGUGCGAAAGCACGACAAGGUUAAUCCGAGUGGUUUCUGCUAAAGGAACCUUUUGUUAGUCCUAGAAACACUAACGAAUAAGGGGUGGGCAAGUUCUGGUGUCAGCCGCCGCGGUAAAACCAGCACCUCAAGUGGUCAGGAUGAUUAUUGGGCCUAAAGCAUCCGUAGCCGGCUCUGUAAGUUUUCGGUUAAAUCUGUUCGCUUAACGUACAGGCUGCCGGGAAUACUGCAGAGCUAGGGAGUGGGAGAGGUAGACGGUACUCGGGAGGAAGUGGUAAAAUGCUUUGAUCUCUCGAUGACCACCUGUGGCGAAGGCGGUCUACCAGAACACGUCCGACGGUGAGGGAUGAAAGCUGGGGGAGCAAACCGGAUUAGAUACCCGGGUAGUCCCAGCUGUAAACUAUGCAAACUCAGUGAUGCAUUGGCUUGUGGCCAAUGCAGUGUUGCAGGGAAGCCGUUAAGUUUGCCGCCUGGGAAGUACGUACGCAAGUAUGAAACUUAAAGGAAUUGGCGGGGGAGCACCACAAGGGGUGAAGCCUGCGGUUCAAUUGGAUUCAACGCCGGA